rnacentral:rRNA from 1 species
UACGUAGGCAGCAAGCGUUGUUCGGAGUUACUGGGCGUAAAGGGCGCGUAGGCGGCGUGACAAGUCACUUGUGAAAUCUCCGGGCUUAACUCGGAACGGCCAAGUGAUACUGUCGUGCUAGAGUGCAGAAGGGGCAAUCGGAAUUCUUGGUGUAGCGGUGAAAUGCGUAGAUAUCAAGAGGAACACCUGAGGUGAAGACGGGUUGCUGGGCUGACACUGACGCUGAAGCGCGAAAGCUAGGGGAGCAAACGGG